UACCAUGCAGUCGAACGAUGAAGCCCUUCGGGGUGGAUUAGUGGCGAACGGGUGAGUAACACGUGGGCAAUCUGCCCUUCACUCUGGGACAAGCCCUGGAAACGGGGUCUAAUACCGGAUAACACCGGCCUCCGCAUGGAGGCCGGUUGAAAGCUCCGGCGGUGAAGGAUGAGCCCGCGGCCUAUCAGCUUGUUGGUGGGGUAAUGGCCUACCAAGGCGACGACGGGUAGCCGGCCUGAGAGGGCGACCGGCCACACUGGGACUGAGACACGGCCCAGACUCCUACGGGAGGCAGCAGUGGGGAAUAUUGCACAAUGGGCGAAAGCCUGAUGCAGCGACGCCGCGUGAGGGAUGACGGCCUUCGGGUUGUAAACCUCUUUCAGCAGGGAAGAAGCGCAAGUGACGGUACCUGCAGAAGAAGCGCCGGCUAACUACGUGCCAGCAGCCGCGGUAAUACGUAGGGCGCAAGCGUUGUCCGGAAUUAUUGGGCGUAAAGAGCUCGUAGGCGGCUUGUCACGUCGGGUGUGAAAGCCCGGGGCUUACCCCGGGUCUGCAUCCGAUACGGGCAGGCUAGAGUGUGGUAGGGGAGAUCRGAAUUCCUGGUGUAGCGGUGAAAUK
rnacentral:rRNA from 1 species